UUUUUUUAAAAAAACACAAAAAGGAGGAAAAGAAACCAACAGGGAUUGCCUUAGUAACGGCGAGUGAAGCGGCAAAAGCUCAAAUUUGAAAUCUGGCACCUUCGGUGUCCGAGUUGUAAUUUGAAGAAGGUAACUUUGGAGUUGGCUCUUGUCUAUGUUCCUUGGAACAGGACGUCACAGAGGGUGAGAAUCCCGUGCGAUGAGAUGCCCAAUUCUAUGUAAAGUGCUUUCGAAGAGUCGAGUUGUUUGGGAAUGCAGCUCUAAGUGGGUGGUAAAUUCCAUCUAAAGCUAAAUAUUGGCGAGAGACCGAUAGCGAACAAGUACAGUGAUGGAAAGAUGAAAAGAACUUUGAAAAGAGAGUGAAAAAGUACGUGAAAUUGUUGAAAGGGAAGGGCUUGAGAUCAGACUUGGUAUUUUGCGAUCCUUUCCUUCUUGGUUGGGUUCCUCGCAGCUUACUGGGCCAGCAUCGGUUUGGAUGGUAGGAUAAUGACUAAGGAAUGUGGCUCUACUUCGGUGGAGUGUUAUAGCCUUGGUUGAUACUGCCUGUCUAGACCGAGGACUGCGUCUUUUGACUAGGAUGUUGGCAUAAUGAUCUUAAGCCACCCGUCUAAAAAAGNGGGGGGAAACAA
rnacentral:rRNA from 1 species